rnacentral:rRNA from 1 species
GGGGGGGGGGGGGGGGGGGGGGGGGGGGGGGAGGUCGGGGGGGGAGGGCGCGUUGGGGGGGCGCGAGUGGCGAACGGGUGAGUAACACGUGAGUAACCGGCCCUUGACUUCGGGAUAACUUCAGGAAACUGGGGCUAAUACCGGAGAGGAAUCCUUGCUGCAUGGUGGGGGUUGGAAAGCUUCGGCGGUUUUGGAUGGACUCGCGGCUUAUCAGCUUGUUGGUGGGGUAGUGGCUUACCAAGGCUUUGACGGGUAGCCGGCCUGAGAGGGCGACCGGCCACAUUGGGACUGAGAUACGGCCCAGACUCCUACGGGAGGCAGCAGUGGGGAAUAUUGCACGAUGGGCGGCAGCCUGAUGCAGCAACGCCGCGUGCGGGAUGACGGCCUUCGGGUUGUAAACCGCUUUCAGCAGGGGCGAAGCUUGUGGUGACGGUACCUGCAGAAGAAGCACCGGCUAACUACGUG